AUUGAACGCUGGCGGCAGGCCUAACACAUGCAAGUCGAACGGUAGCACAGAGAGCUUGCUCUCGGGUGACGAGUGGCGGACGGGUGAGUAAGGUCUGGGAAACUGCCUGAUGGAGGGGGAUAACUACUGGAAACGGUAGCUAAUACCGCAUAACGUCGCAAGACCAAAGAGGGGGACCUUCGGGCCUCUUGCCAGCAGAUGUGCCCAGAUGGGAUUAGCUAGUAGGUGGGGUAACGGCUCACCUAGGCGACGAUCCCUAGCUGGUCUGAGAGGAUGACCAGCCACACUGGAACUGAGACACGGUCCAGACUCCUACGGGAGGCAGCAGUGGGGAAUAUUGCACAAUGGGCGCAAGCCUGAUGCAGCCAUGCCGCGUGUAUGAAGAAGGCCUUCGGGUUGUAAAGUACUUUCAGCGGGGAGGAAGGGAGUAAGGUUAAUAACCUUAUUCAUUGACGUUACCCGCAGAAGAAGCACCGGCUAACUCCGUGCCAGCAGCCGCAGUAAGAC
rnacentral:rRNA from 1 species